ACAGCUUGUCCGUGUUCAGCUCUACGAUUUUGAUAAUUUGUCCAGGGAGCCGUAUACUCAAAUGCUCUUUCCUACAUGGUCGGCGAAGCUACACUAGCUAGUGGCAAAAACGAGAUGCUACCUUGAUGCUCCACAGGGCCCAGAAUCCUGGCCAAAGAUUGGGGUCCCUGAUCUCUUGAGAAGAAGCUGUUGAGAUUCCUGCUUUUUGAUUUUGGGUUUCAUCCUAACGGACAUCCAUGGUGAGCUGAAGAGGUGUUCUAGAUCAUCUGCUGAUGAACCUCCAAGACAGG